GGUGUUGUGGUUCAGUGGUAGAGCACUUGCCUAGCAUGUGUGAGGCAUUGGGUUCAAUUCUCAGCACCA
rnacentral:tRNA from 1 species